UUGUCACAAUCACUAUGUUUGUUGUAUGUCCAAUUUAGCUGGAUCUGGAGCUAAGAAUGGUCUUAUAUCAAAUUUUAAGUCCAGGCAAAAGACAUCUGAAAUAAGCUUCAAGACUGAAUCCAUGUCACAACCAAAGUCAACAUUAAUGCCUCCAGUGAGGCUGGGAUUUCAUGCCAAAUGCUUCCUGAGCUGAUGUUCCAAGAGUUUUGAAGUUUACUCAUCUCUAGUCUCUAACGAUCCAAGAAUCUGCCUACUUUCUUUUCUAUUCUAAGGCACUGCUGUCAGUGAUGUGAACAACAGUUUCAUGGGAAAAAAUA